AGUUGCCUGUUGCUGCGUUGAUGUUGUUGCUGUUGAUGUUGUCGUCGUUGUUCGCCAUAGCUCAUGGUUUAAGCUAGAUUUACCUCUGUCCUCAGAAGGAUCAGCACAGCAGGGGAAUAUCUGGGAUUGAGUUGAAGAAAUUUUGGUCGUUCCUGGGCAUUGUCAUUGGAAAUUUCUCUGAAAAUCGUUGUGAGUACUUUCGAAAAUGGUUUAGUAGCUUCCUUUUAGGAACGAGUUUGGUAUGAAAUAUUGAAUGUACAUUGGCGUGUUUGCAUGUUUAUUAUGCAGUUGGCUUUCCAUGUCUCUUGCAUACGACACCGUAGUUUUCCAUAAUUCUGUAAUAGGGAGUAGUAUCAUGUUUGAAACGGAUAAUUUUUCAUUUUUUGAAUGAUCUAUGCUGAUCUUUGCUGAACAAAAAUUUCUCCAGCUGUGUUUAUUUUUGUUUCCGUGGUAGAUUUCGUUGCCUUUCUGGGUUAAGUUCCUUCAUAAGUUUUACUUCGGACUUCAGUACUUUACCUGAUAACGGACGAGCUUGGGAUCUUGCCCUCAUGUUGGUGUAAAUUUUCAAACGAUUGCGUGCGAUUUUCUGCGCAUCUUCAAGAUUUACGAUAAUCUCUACAUCAGCCUCUAAGGUCUUGCCCCAGACGUGCAAACUAUGUAAGAGAGCGGGGGAGAAACUGAAGAAGAUUUCAACAUACUUACCUGGUGUACCCCUGCAUCGCUGCAAACGAACCUUACGUGUAUGAUUUUCCAGCACCUUCCCCUGGUCAAACUUUGAAGCACAGCAUCAUCCUCCUCCAAUUUUGCGAAUCUGACAUAAAUUCACGUGAAUACAUUUGGUUUACUUCAACAGUCGUAGCAGAGAUGAAUGCCGUCCAUUAAUUUAGGGUAUCCAAGGUGUCGUUGGGAUGAAGCUGGAAGCAUCGUGUAAUCUUAGCACCAUCAACUCUCGAAAUUUCUGGAGCUCGCCUCCCACACAUCUGCAUGUUGGCAAUUCUUAAAUUGCAAAUUACAGAAGAUGGGGUGCUCCAGGGGAUCUUAACGAAUGGAUGUAUACUCCACGGAAUCCUACUACUGCAGCAGGUGCGCGUAAAUUUUCACCUCAACCUCCUAAACUCCAUGACAUAGACAGAAUGACCGCAUCGAAGAGUACCGAGUCCGGGAAACAAUCCUUUCAAAUUGAUCAUCAUUUGCACUGAAAGUUUAGAGGCAUCACAAGCUCCGCCAAUUCACAGUUUUACAAUUUGUAUUACUUAAUGAUUUUUUGUUUUGUUUUGUUUUGUUUCAAGUUUUGAUUAGUAUCGUUACCAAAUUUCAAUAUUUUUUAUUCAUCACCAAUUCUAUACAUUUCCAUACAUUCCAUGCAAA